rnacentral:miRNA from 9 species
AGGAAGAACAUUCUGUCUACAUG